GUCAAACUCGAGUCCCGUGGGCCGAAUCCGGUCCGCCACGUCAUUCCGUGGUCCGCGACGGCUUUAAAGUCACAUGACCGUCUUAGGAUGCGACCUUCAAGUUCCUCAAGGUGAACAAUCAACCAGGUACGCUCACAAAGACAAACACGCACUCGGCAACCUGACACGCUGCCUGGUGACCACAGAAUACAUCCCAUAAUUACCAUGGAAACACACAACAGAAGUCUGGUUACAGAACCAGGUGAGCCCAAGACCACAUACAGGUAUGUGAGCAGGUGUUGAGCACGUUUCAUAACGAGCUCCUCUGACGGACCCUGAAGGAUCCUGAUCUGCUCCGGGCCGACGACACAAAUAGCUUCUGAUCUGCUGGAGAUCCUCUUCCUAAGCAGCUCCACCUCCAGAGUCCUGAGCUGAGCGUCUGAGGAGGCUGCUAAAACCGGAACAGAUGAAAUAAUCUUCAAAUGUAAGUUUAUUUUGGGGGAUUUACGUGAUUCAUAAACGGGGAAAGUCGAAAGUUUGGAUGAAAUAAUGUUUUUAUUUUUAAAAAUAAUGUUUUUAUAUAUAAUUAAAGUUUGACCGUUUCCUCCACUGAGCUCCCUGGGAACCGGCCUCAUUAGAACCAACGCCACCCUCUUCUCCACCAAUCGUGUGUGUG